CACGUAGUUAGCCGGGGCUUCUUAGUCAGGUACCGUCUUUUUUCGUCCCUGCUGAUAGAGCUUUACAUACCGAAAUACUUCCUCGCUCACGCGGCGUCGCUGCAUCAGGGUUUCCCCCAUUGUGCAAUAUUCCCCACUGCUGCCUCCCGUAGGAGUUUGGGCCGUGUCUCAGCCCCAAUGUGGCCGGUCACCCUCUCAGGCCGGCUACUGAUCGUUGCCUUGGUGGGCUUUUACCCCUCCAACUAGCUAAUCAGACGCGGACUCAUCCUGCACCGUAAUUUCUUUUCCUGCCUCCCUCAUGCGAGGCUGUAGGCUUAUGCGGUAUUAGCAGCCUAUUUCUAGCUGUUCGUCCCCCUGUGCAGGGCAGUAUUAUCCACGUCGUUACCUCCACCCCGUCCGCCACUCAGCGAGGAAGGUGCAACGCCACCCUCCUCGUCCUUUCGUUCCGACUUGCCUAGUGUUAGUUAACGCCACCGCCG
rnacentral:rRNA from 1 species